rnacentral:lncRNA from 1 species
ACAAUAUUUUUAGAGUUAUACAUAAAUAAUUUUUGUAGCGUAAAAGUUAAAUAAAUUCAUACAUACUGUAAUACAGUAAGCCAAAGUAUUUAAUUUAAUUUACAAUAAUAAGUGGGCCCCCGAAUAAACAAAAGUAAAGAGGACUAUAACCUACAGUUUGAAGAAUGCAAACCCAACAGUAGUCCUCGAUGAGAUCAGCUAUCUACAGUCUAAUCUGAGCUUGAAAUGGAGGGAAAGGAGAGUGGUGAGAUUUUAUAAUCCCAGUGAGUAAACAAACAUCAUUCAAAAGAUCUAAAGUCCGAGUAAAAGGAGACAAUUAAAAUAUUUCAUCUCAAUAUGUAUUUCAUAACAUAAAUAUUCAUUUCAUUUAAAUAUUCAACAUGACUUAUGAGUAUUUUAAAAGCUUGGCUCUUACCAAAAUCAUUCUCGGGGAUACCUUGGCCGAGGCAUCUAAUCGAGUCCUCCAAGGCUGUUAAAAAGUUCGUAUACACGUAAAUAUAUUUUUAGUUUAAAAAGAACACAGCCGUUCCUUGGCAUUAGCAGAGUUCAUCGUCAUGAGGUGGUUCGGCGUGACGUGAACUCUAACCAUACCUCAGAAGAUACCCUAUGCGCCUCUUCAACCGAGGUACAUAUAUAUAUCUGAAUUCUGUACCCCUUUAAUAGGUUGGUCCACAGAACCCGCCCACUGUAGCAAGCUAAACCCACCAUACAAUAAAAUUUUAACAGCAUGACAAGGCUAAUAUGACACUACCCAACCUGCAAGGGUAAAAUAAAAUAAUUCAUACAAUUCAUAAAAUACAGCCCAACCAGUAAUGCCAACACAAUAACAAUAUAACAUAAGCCAUCAAUUUCCAAUCAUAAAUUUGCAACAUACUAGUGGUCUCCAAUUACUCUAUUUUUCAAAUCAUUAUUUUGUUUCAAGACAAUUUAUAAAGUCUUUUCAUUUAAACACAUUUUGUUUACAAAACAUAAAAAUUUACCAUUUGAACUCAUUUUCAUAAAAUUCACCAAAACCGAAUAAAAACAUACUUUAGAUAAUUAAAAUGAUGGUAAGGUUACUCACAAUGUUUAGAGUGGGGAUUUUCGAAAUACUCAGACUACUGGUCCUCAGAUACAAUUCCCUUGCCUUUAUCGGAGGACUCACCACCUUAACACAAUACAAAAUCGAGAAAUUCACCACAUUGGUACUAAAUUGAAAUUAAACUAAUUUAGACUACUAAUGCAUGAUAUGGAAUGCAAAAAGUCUAACUUUUUCCUAAACACCGUAUUAACCUAUUUCGGUCUUUUACCCAAUAAAUUGAAAUACGCAUCCAAUUUAGCUCCAAUUGAUCCCAUUUCUUUUUCUAAUGCUUCAAAUCACNUCGGUCUUUUACCCGAUAAAUUGAAAUACGCAUCCAAUUUAGCUCCAAUUGAUCCCAUUUCUUUUUCUAAUGCUUCAAAUCACCAAUGUCCAGCCAAAUAACUCAAAAAUCAGCAAAGCCACAUUCAUAUUCCUUCUUGGAAAAAUUCGGCCAAAAUGGUGCAUCAUUGUCACAAUUUUUCCUACUUGAUUUUCUUUCCAUAAUUCAUUAAUUUUCAUAUAAAAAACCAUGAUUUCAUAAUCAAAUAACCUAAAAUAACAUCACAUUCUUCCUCACCAUUGACUUGAAAAUUCAGCUAAGGCUAGGUAAUGAGAAAAAUGAAUGUUUUUCUACAUAUUUUGUUUACUAACAUGCUAAACUAACACUAAACACUAACAUAUAUCAAAGUCAAAUCAAUCCAACAAUUUUUUCUCUCUAGACCCAUAUGACCAGCCAUGAAAACAUGCAAUUUAAUCAUGGAAAAUAAGGAGAAAUGCUUGGGAAUAAGAAAACUCAAGCUUAAUAGAAAAAUCUUACCUUCUUCACUUAAUUUCCUUGAAAAUUCAUACUUUUUCUUUGAUUUUCUCUCUCUAGGGUUUGGUUUUUAUUUUCUCUCUCUUCUUGCUGGUUUGGCCGACCAUGGGGUGGA